rnacentral:rRNA from 1 species
AAAGAUUAAGCCAUGCAUGUCUAAGUAUAAGCUUUUAUACGGCUAAACUGCGAAUGGCUCAUUAAAACAGUUAUAGUUUAUUUGAUGGUCUUUACUACAUGGAUAACCGUGGUAAUUCUAUGGCUAAUACAUGCGCACAUGCCUCUUCCCCUGGAAGGGCAGUGUUUAUUAGAUACAGAACCAACCCACCUUCCGGUGGUCCUCAGGUGAUUCAUAGUAACCGAACGGAUCGCGUUGACUUCGGUCUGCGACGGAUCAUUCAAGUUUCUGACCUAUCAGCUUUCGACGGUACUGUAUUGGACUACCGUGGCAGUGACGGGUAACGGGGAAUUAGGGUUCGAUUCCGGAGAGGGAGCCUGAGAAACGGCUACCACAUCUAAGGAAGGCAGCAGGCGCGCAAAUUACCCAAUCCUGAUUCAGGGAGGUAGUGACAAGAAAUAACAACACUGGAAAUUUCAUUUCUAGUGAUUGGAAUGAUAGGAAUCC